rnacentral:rRNA from 1 species
GAUGAACGCUAGUUACAGGCCUAACACAUGCAAGUCGAGGGGCAUCGGGAGGGAAGCUUGCUUCCCUUGCCGGCGACCGGCGCACGGGUGAGUAACGCGUAUCGAACCUGCCCCAUACCCGGGGAUAGCCUUGCGAAAGUAAGAUUAAUACCCGAUGGUUUCCCUUUAUCUCCUGAUAGAGGGAAUAAAGAUUUCGGUAUGGGAUGGCGAUGCGUCCGAUUAGCUGGUUGGCGGGGUAACGCCCACCAAGGCGACGAUCGGUAGGGGUUCUGAGAGGAAGGUCCCCCCACAUUGGAACUGAGACACGGGUCCAAACUCCUACGGGAGGCAGCAGUGAGGAAUAUUGGUCAAUGGGCGGAAGCCUGAACCAGCCAAGUAGCGUGCAGGAUGACGGCCCUACGGGUUGUAAACUGCUUUUAGAC